AUUGUCUUCAUGGUGCACCAAUCGAUCACCAGUCCAUUGUUAUAAUAUCCUUUUUUGCCUCCUAGACUCCUAGUUAACAAUGGACUGGUGGUCGACUGGUGAGAAGUAGGUUCCUGCAGUCAGGGCUUCCAUGGUUCAUCCAUGUUAGGUUUGGUACAGAAUGAACCAGGUGGGACAUUUCUUGCCUGUGAAGUCACUAUCCCUUCAUUUUGAACUUAAGAAUACAGGUUUGAUUGAUUAAGAUGGUCACUUUUGGAUUAGUUAUAGUAGUAGUGGAGCCCAGUAUUAGGCUCAACAUACUUAUUCAGUCUCUUGAUCUGUUUGUUUGUUUGUUUGUUAUGGCCCAUUCUGUUUUGGAAAUUAAGGCAACCUCCAAACUAAUAGAAGGUAUAUUAUUGGACUACUGCUACUUGUUUGUUACUGGAAAUGAUGGAUUCUCAACAUUUUUUUACCAUGAA